rnacentral:lncRNA from 1 species
CCCAGGGUUCGCAUCACCCCAACUUUCUGAUUGAAAAGAGCUUUCCUAGGCUAUAAGGUAACCCCUGCUCCUCUGUGUGAGAGAGGGGAAGGGGAGGGGGCUCUCUCUCCCCCCCCAGUGUUAUUCCCCACACUAGAGCUGGAAGAGUGAGGCUGUGGGCCAGAGUUUGCGAGUACCUGCCACCCCUGUUGGUGUCAUCACCUCACAGGACUGGCCCUAGGUGACCCAUUUCCAGAAGGCCUGAGUCCGACUCUGAGUGGAGCAGAUGCCAACAGGAACAGAGGUCUCCCCCCUAACACAGGGAUGACAAGCGAGUUCUGCGAUGAGGAUCAAGUUAACCAGUAUCAGUCACGAACCCUGGGGGAAGAAGUAAGGAAUUCGCUGACAAGAAGCACUGUGCAGCCUUGCCUGGCUGUAGAGUGCAUGUCGCAAUAAGAAACCUGUUCAGGAGGCCCUGUUACGCCAAAGUAAUUAACACACAUGAA